rnacentral:tRNA from 1 species
GCUUUUAAAGGAAGACAGAUAUCCCCUGGUCUUAGAAACCAAAAUACUUGGUGCAAAUCCAAGUAAAAGUAAUG